CUCGCUGGAGUUAGAUAUAUAUUUGAAAUUUAAAAGGAGGCUUUUUUUUUCUUUCUUGCCUGCCUACACAGAUAUGUAAGGUCCAAAGGUCUAGGAUGAAAGUUUUAGUGACCUCUUGGGAGGAAAGGGGGAGAUGGUAAUAAUGUUUGUGACAGCUGAAUCUACCUAGAAUGAGGAGCAGACUCAAUGGGGAACAAUAUUGCAGAAUGUUAUCAACAUUGUUGGCCUGCAUAAGAACCAGGAAGUAACAUGUGAAUGACUUAUGUGACUCUGAAACAUGGAAGGCUCAGCUCUACACACACAGCUGCCUCACACCUAACAAAGGGUCCAGUUGGAAGACAAAGAAACUUGAAACUCAUGGAUGUGCAAGGGCCUCUGUGAUGGUCCGUAUAUGCCUGACCCACGGAGGGGCGAUACUACGGGAUGUGGCCCUGUUGGAGUAGGUGUGUCACUGUGGGCAUGGGCUUUGAGACCCUCAUCCUAGCUGCCUGGAAGCCAGUAUCUGCUAGCAGCCUUCAGAUGAAGAUGUAUUACUCAGCUCCUCCUGUACCAUGCCUGCCUGGAUGUUGCCAUGUUCCUGCCUUGAUGAAAAUGGACUGAACCGGGUUGGGGAUUUAGCUCAGUGGUAGAGCGCUUGC
ensembl:lncRNA